rnacentral:rRNA from 1 species
UACGUAGGUGACCAGCGUUGUCCGGAAUUACUGGGCGUAAAGGGCGCGUAGGCGGAAUGGCAAGUCGGUCGUGAAAUCCUUCGGCUCAACCGAAGAACGUCGAUCGAAACUGCCGUUCUUGAGGAUUGCAGAGGAGACUGGAAUUCCCGGUGUAGCGGUGAAAUGUGUAGAGAUCGGGAGGAACACCGGUGGCGAAGGCGGGUCUCUGGGCAAUUCCUGACGCUGAGGCGCGAAAGCGUGGGGAGCAAACGGG